UGGCCAUAUCACGUUGAAACACCGAUUCCCGUACGAUCGCCGAAGUUAAGCAACAUCGAGCCUUCUCAGUAUCUGGAUGGGUGACCGCUAG